rnacentral:lncRNA from 1 species
UUUCAUUGACUACAUUUUUCCCCUUCUUUUCUCGCGAACCAAACGAGCCCUAAGAGCAAAGAUUUCAUCUUAUCAUGCUUGCUUAUGUCUUUUAGAACUAUUUUGUCAUGGUUGUCUAACUCUCAACAUAAAAAUAAUCCAAAUGAAACUGACUUUGCAAGGUCCUUAGUGUCUAUUUUCUGAGAGCACCUUAGCACUCGGUUGAAUCAAGAUGGAUCGGAUUUGGUCAAAACUUAGGUUGAGAUGGAUCGGAUUAGGUCAAAAUGUGAUUGAUGAUUGAGUAUGAUAGGGUACAAUCAGGUUACGCAGAGCAAGCUACAUGCUUUAUGGGUAAUGUAGA